AGAGUUUGAUUCUGGCUCAGGAUGAACGCUAGCUACAGGCUUAACACAUGCAAGUCGUGGGGCAGCGAGGAGUUAGCUGCUAACUUGUCGGCGACCGGCGCACGGGUGAGUAACGCGUAUCCAACCUUCCCCAUAGUAGAGGAUAGCCCGGCGAAAGUCGGAUUAAUACUCUAUGUUGUAUUUCGAGGACAUCUGAAGAAUACCAAAGGUUCACCGCUAUGGGAUGGGGAUGCGUCUGAUUAGGUAGUAGGCGGGGUAACGGCCCACCUAGCCGGCGAUCAGUAGGGGUUCUGAGAGGAAGGUCCCCCACAUUGGAACUGAGACACGGUCCAAACUCCUACGGGAGGCAGCAGUGAGGAAUAUUGGUCAAUGGGCGGGAGCCUGAACCAGCCAAGUAGCGUGCAGGAUGGCGGCCCUAUGGGUUGUAAACUGCUUUUAUGCGGGGAAUAAAGUGCGCCACGUGUGGCGUUUUGUAGGUACCGCAUGAAUAAGGACCGGCUAAUUCCGUGCCAGCCGCCGC
rnacentral:rRNA from 1 species